UACGGAGGAUGCGAGCGUUAUCCGGAUUUAUUGGGUUUAAAGGGUGCGUAGGCGGAUCGUUAAGUCAGUGGUCAAAUUGAGGGGCUCAACCCCUUCCCGCCAUUGAAACUGGCGAUCUUGAGUGGAAGAGAAGUAUGCGGAAUGCGUGGUAUAGCAGUGAAAUGCAUAGAUAUCACGCAGAACCCCGAUUGCGAAGGCAGCAUGCCGGCUUCCUACUGACGCUGAAGCACGAAAGCGUGGGGAUCGAACAGG
rnacentral:rRNA from 1 species